rnacentral:lncRNA from 1 species
GCCGUACCCGCGGCGCUUCCAGUAGGCCUUGAUGCCGCCCCUGUAGGUGGCGCCGCCGGCUCCGGCCAUGGCGCGCGCGGUGGCGUCUGUUGGUUUCUUCUCUUGGGCAAGGGGAGGUGAGGUUGGCUUCGUGGAGUUGUGGGUGGCGAGCUGAGCUCUCGCGUGGCGUAUAAAAAUGGGGAGGACAGCGAGCAAUGACGUAGCUGCACUACUUGUACUAGAGUCUAGCCCAUGAUACCCCUGGUAAACUCCAGCUUUGAUUCCCUUUUGUCUUCUAGAAGGCCAUGUAUCUGCCCUUCAAAUAAAAUCGUCUUUAAGGUUUUAUCCUCUAAGACCAUUCAUAGUAAAAAUAUACUUUUAUAUGGCCGUUUACGGUACACCAG